rnacentral:lncRNA from 1 species
AAAGAAAGCCCAUGAAAAUUAGAUUUAGACUUCCAGUAUUCAAUUGACAAUCAUCAUAUUUAUAUCUAAUAAAAAUAAAAUAAAAUUAAGCAUUAAACAUUUGGUCCACCUUAAGGACCAUUAAAUUACACAUUCACCAUCAUUCAAUUAUUAUUAUUGAUAACAACUGACUACUAAACCUAACUACAAUUUAGCUAAAACUUUAUGUUUCCAAAAUAC